rnacentral:rRNA from 1 species
GACGAACGCUGGCGGCGUGCUUAAUACAUGCAAGUCGAACGGACAGGCCCUGCUCUUGCUGGUUUCUCGUUUGCCGAACAGGUGUGUGACACACGUGGAACCCCUCCCUAACUGUCUGAUAUCUCUAGGGAACUGCGGCGAUUACCGCAUAUGAUCUCCUGCUGCAUAUGGUUGGAUGGUAAAAUUCGGCGGUUGUGGAUCGACUCGCUGCUUAUCAGCUUGUUGGUGGGGUAGUGGCGUACCAGGGCUUCGACGGGUAGCCGGCCUGAGAGGGUUACCGGCCACAUUGGGACUGAGAGAGGGCCCAGAAUGGUACGGGAGGCAGCAGUGGGGAAUAUUGCAGAAUGGGCGGAAGCCUGAUGCAGCAGCGCCGCGUGCGGGAUACUCGCCUACGGGUUGUGAACAGAUUUGGAAUGUGCCGAAGAGUGAGUGACGGUAAUUGGUAAGGAAGCAACGGCUAACUACGUG